rnacentral:rRNA from 1 species
UACGGAGGGUGCAAGCGUUAUCCGGAUUCACUGGGUUUAAAGGGUGCGUAGGCGGGUAAGUAAGUCCGUGGUGAAAUCUCUGAGCUUAACUCAGAAACUGCCGUGGAUACUAUUUGCCUUGAAUAUUGUGGAGGUGAGCGGAAUAUGUCAUGUAGCGGUGAAAUGCUUAGAUAUGACAUAGAACACCAAUUGCGAAGGCAGCUCACUACACGAAUAUUGACACUGAGGCACGAAAGCGUGGGGAUCAAACAGG